ACAAGGGACCCUCUAACUGACACUGAGGGGGAGGGGCUAUCAACUAAACGUCAGAGAAAGGGAGGAGCUGUACGUGAGGAAGGAGCGGCGGGAAAGGCGGCGUGUAACGUGAGGGGGUAGAGAGCUGGUACCGCCGGGCAGCACUAUGGUGAAUCUGCUGACAGGAUUAUACCCCCAAAGUCUCCCAUUCUGCAGUACCAGACUGUGCAGGGGCAGAACAUGGACUCACACAGAAUUAUCAGUAACGACCCUGUACCACAAUGGCGCCCAGACUCUUUGAUUGUAUCCUUGACUGUGUGAGAGGUGUCUGCACACGGCUCGGGUACAAAAAGGAGACUGAAAAAGUUGCCAAAUGGGAGGCGGUUCGUUACGUUGUAAAGGACGAAUCCAUAACUUUUAUCCCUACUGGGGCAAGUUAUUAGGAUUCGUAGGUAAAUAGGUCAAUUAGGUUAGGGGGGAAAAAAAAAAAUUAGGUUAGUUUAGCAAAUAGAAAAAAAAAAA